GAUGAACGCUGGCGGCGUGCCUAAUACAUGCAAGUCGAGCGAACGGACGAGAAGCUUGCUUCUCUGAUGUUAGCGGCGGACGGGUGAGUAACACGUGGAUAACCUACCUAUAAGACUGGGAUAACUUCGGGAAACCGGAGCUAAUACCGGAUAAUAUUUUGAACCGCAUGGUUCAAAAGUGAAAGACGGUCUUGCUGUCACUUAUAGAUGGAUCCGCGCUGCAUUAGCUAGUUGGUAAGGUAACGGCUUACCAAGGCAACGAUGCAUAGCCGACCUGAGAGGGUGAUCGGCCACACUGGAACUGAGACACGGUCCAGACUCCUACGGGAGGCAGCAGUAGGGAAUCUUCCGCAAUGGGCGAAAGCCUGACGGAGCAACGCCGCGUGAGUGAUGAAGGUCUUCGGAUCGUAAAACUCUGUUAUUAGGGAAGAACAUAUGUGUAAGUAACUGUGCACAUCUUGACGGUACCUAAUCAGAAAGCCACGGCUAACUACGUGCCAGCAGCCGCGGUAAUACGUAGGUGGCAAGCGUUAUCCGGAAUUAUUGGGCGUAAAGCGCGCGUAGGCGGUUUUUUAAGUCUGAUGUGGAAGCCCACGGCUCAACCGUGGAGGGUCAUUGGAAACUGGAAAACUUGAGUGCAGAAGAGGAAAGUGGAAUUCCAUGUGUAGCGGUGAGAUGCGCAGAGAUAUGGAGGAACACCAGUGGCGAAGGCGACUUUCUGGUCUGUAACUGACGCUGAUGUGCGAAAGCGUGGGGAUCAAACAGGAUUAGAUACCCUGGUAGUCCACGCCGUAAACGAUGAGUGCUAAGUGUUAGGGGGUUUCCGCCCCUUAGUGCUGCAGCUAACGCAUUAAGCACUCCGCCUGGGGAGUACGACCGCAAGGUUGAAACUCAAAGGAAUUGACGGGGACCCGCACAAGCGGUGGAGCAUGUGGUUUAAUUCGAAGCAACGCGAAGAACCUUACCAAAUCUUGACAUCCUUUGACAACUCUAGAGAUAGAGCCUUCCCCUUCGGGGGACAAAGUGACAGGUGGUGCAUGGUUGUCGUCAGCUCGUGUCGUGAGAUGUUGGGUUAAGUCCCGCAACGAGCGCAACCCUUAAGCUUAGUUGCCAUCAUUAAGUUGGGCACUCUAAGUUGACUGCCGGUGACAAACCGGAGGAAGGUGGGGAUGACGUCAAAUCAUCAUGCCCCUUAUGAUUUGGGCUACACACGUGCUACAAUGGACAAUACAAAGGGCAGCGAAACCGCGAGGUCAAGCAAAUCCCAUAAAGUUGUUCUCAGUUCGGAUUGUAGUCUGCAACUCGACUACAUGAAGCUGGAAUCGCUAGUAAUCGUAGAUCAGCAUGCUACGGUGAAUACGUUCCCGGGUCU
rnacentral:rRNA from 1 species